rnacentral:rRNA from 1 species
AUUGAACGCUGGCGGCAGGCCUAACACAUGCAAGUCGAACGAGUGGCGGACGGGCGAGUAAUUUCUGGGAAACUGCCUGAUGGAGGGGGAUAACUACUGGAAACGGUAGCUAAUACCGCAUACCAUCCGAUGAGCCCAUAUGGGAUUAGCUAGUUGGUGGGGUAACGGCUCACCUAGGCGACGAUCUCUAGCUGGUCUGAGAGGAUGACCAGCCACACUGGGACUGAGACACGGUCCAGACUCCUACGGGAGGCAGCAGUGGGGAAUCUUCGGCAAUGGACGAAAGUCUGACCGAGCAACGCCGCGUGAGUGAAGAAGGUUUUCGGAUCGUAAAACUCUGUGGGUAGAGACGGUAUCUACCCAAGAAGCCACGGCUAACUACGUGCCAGCAGCCGCGGUAAUAC